GGAUGGACUUAUGACGACAGAUUCAAGAAAUAACUGUUGCAUGCUGAAUAACCCCUUAUGAAAACAAUGUCCAAAGAAGACAUCCAGUCCUCAUUAAAUAUAGUUCUGCUUGGCUGCUCUGCACUUUUAAUAGGAAAUGAAGAACAACUGUGUGAAAUACACCAUCGGUUGCUUUGUAGCAAUAUGUCAAUGAUAUUCCAGCAGUUAAUGGGAGUCGAUGAAAAGGGAUAGCUUCUGUAAGUGGUGCUUUAUUUUUUAUGCUUUAAAAGAACUAACUGCAUCAUGUCCUCAUGAAUUGGUUGAAGCUGUGUUUUGAUAAUAAAUAUGCAGUUCAUAUGGGCAUACAAAGAAAGAAUGAAGUAUGACAACAUAGAGUGUAAACAUCCAUAAUUGCUUAUGUAGACAGCAGGAGAAUCACAGGCAACUGCUGAUGACUGAAGCACCUUUAAAUGAAGAUGAGUUUUUUAACUGGUGAAAAUUAGUAAGCGUGCUGUAGGUAGUAAAUAGUCAAUAUACAGAAAUAAUUUCAGCAUGUUUGAACAGUAAGCUUUAAAAGAGAACAUAAAAUUAUGAAAAUAUUCAGUAUUUUUGGUCUUUUAUACCCAGCAUGAUGUUUAUGUUUGGCAUUUUUAAGCCCAGUUAGCUUUCGACCUACAAAGCUGUAGGUGUCCUCACAUAUUCUUCUCUCAACUGAAAAACAACAACAAAAAAAGGAAAUUGGAAGAUCUGAAAAAUGUGAAUUUUUGUCCAGAAUUUUCAAAUACUAAUCCUUUUCCUCUUAUAUUGCUUUAGGUUCUGUUAAUGUUCAUUUAAAUUGAACACAGUUCUCACACAAGAAUAGUAUGACUGUAUCUUGACAGUUCUUAGGUAGCACUUGGAAAACAAAUAGUUUAUGUAAUUAGGAGAUUAGAGUCUAAUAACUUAAUUUGUUCACCCACACAUAGAUGUCUAGUAAUAUUUGACUUACUCUCUGAUAUUUCGCCAGACCUCCAUCUGCCAGUCAAAGGAGUUUUCUCUAUGUUAUAGGUAAUUGUAGGCAAAAUUAUCAAAAGGAAAAUGUUUUACAAAUGGGAGGCUGAGGACUUUUGAGGAGAAAAGGGUUCCAGGCUCUGCUUUAUGGAGGUUUCACACUUUCUCAGAUAUUUAAGUCUCCUUAAUAAAAGGCAGUGUUUCUUUUUGUCUUGAGCAGUUGCUACUGGCUAGCUGAAUCAGAAUACUGGCUCAGAUGAAUGGAGGUCUGAAAAGUGCAUUUGCAUACAGAGUUGUUUAGGAUAUGUGGCUUCUAAUCUGAGAUCCAGAUGCUUAAAGGUUCAUUGUAGUGAUACAGAAUACAAACAUAUAUAUAUAUAUUUUUUUUUUCCUAUGGUCCCUAAAAUUUUGCAAAUUCAGUUGCUUGGCUCACCUUGAGAGAAGUAUUUAAGAGGAUCCCACAAAUUAGUUAAGUGGCAUGUCUAGGUAAUUGAACAAAGGUUCAAGAAGUACAAAAUACCAGUUUCAACUUAGUCUAGUCCUUCCAAUGUAGAAAAGCAAUUAUAUUAAAUAAAUUUUACCUAAUGUAAAAUUAGAUACAUCACAAUGUGCAUCAUCAUGUAGAUGAUGACUGGUGCACAGACUUGGAAGAACUAUUACUUAGGUCUUCAUGAUGUGUUCACUUAUUUUGUCAGUACCAUUAAUGAAAGAUAUUAAAAACUGAGUAGGUUUUCACAGAGGACAGCUGAGGCUUCUCGUUUCAGAACUUAUGGUAAAAUUAGUAUGUAUUUUCAGUAUGUAUUCAGAAUAUAUAGCACUCACAUGGAAAACAGUAAAAUAUUCAUUCUAGAAUUCACGCAGUGAAUUGCAGAGUUGAAUGUCUCUGAAUGAAAAAUAAAAUCUUGAAGGUAAUUAAGUCCUAUGUUUCUUUACUUAUUAUUUAACCAGUUGAGAGAAGUGUUUUGUCUGAGAAAGUAGCUACAAUUUCUGUAUUGAGUUUGAAUAAUAAAGCACUUUUUGAGAAAAA